rnacentral:rRNA from 1 species
GACGAACGCUGGCGGCGUGCCUAAUACAUGCAAGUAGAACGCAGUUGCGAACGGGUGAGUAACGCGUAGGUAACUGCCUCAUAGCGGGGGAUAACUAUUGGAAACGAUAGCUAAUACCGCAUACUGUGAGAUGGACCUGCGUUGUAUUAGCUAGUUGGUGAGGUAAAGGCUCACCAAGGCGACGAUACAUAGCCGGCCUGAGAGGGUGAACGGCCACACUGGGAAUGGGACAACGCCCAGAAUCCUACGGGAGGCAGGAGUAGGGGAUCUUCGGCAAUGGACGGAAGUCUGGACGAACAAAGCCGCGUGAGUGAAGAAGGGUUUCGGAGCGGAAAGGUAUGUUGUUAGAGAAGCGGUAACUAAACAGAAAGGGACGGCUAACUACGUGCCAGCAGCCGCGGUAAUUC